rnacentral:rRNA from 1 species
AGAGUUUGAUCAUGGCUCAGGACGAACGCUGGCGGCGUGGAUUAGGCAUGCAAGUCGAACGGUAUCAUCCUUUCGGGGGUGAGAGAGUGGCGAACUGGUGAGUAACACGUAGGUUACCUACCCUCAAGACGGGGACAACCCAGGGAAACUUGGGCUAAUACCGGAUGUGAGCAACUUUUUAGUUGUUUGAAAGGUGGCGUAAGCUGUCGCUUGGGGAUGAGCCUGCGUCCUAUUAGUUAGUUGGUGAGGUAACGGCUCACCUAGGCAAUGAUAGGUAGGCGGCCUUAACGGGUGGUCGCCCACACUGGGAUUGAGAUACGGCCCAGACUCCUACGGGAGGCAGCAGUCGAGAAUAGUCUACAAUGGUCGGAAGACUGAUAGUGCGACGCCGCGUGAACGAUGAAUCCCUUCGGGGUGUAAAGUUCUUUUAUAUGUGAGCAGUGCUUCUUAUAUUAAGAGUAUGGGGAGAGAGAUAUUAGCAUAUGAAUAAGCAACGGCUAACUCCGUGCCAGCAGCCGCGGUAACACGGGGGUUGCGAGCGUUGUCCGGAAUUACUAGGCGUAAAGGGCAGGCAGGCGGAUCCAUAAGUUUAUCGUUUAAGGCGUCGGCUUAACCGGCGUAGGGCGGUAGAUACUGUGGAUCUGGAAUGCGGUUGGGGAAGACAGAAUUCCUGGUGUAGCGGUGGAAUGCGCAGAGAUCAGGAGGAAUACCGAAGGCGAAGGCAGUCUUCCAAGCCGUUAUUGACGCUCAACUGCGAAGGUGUGGGUAUCAAACAGGAUUAGAUACCCUGGUAGUCCACACAGUAAACGAUAAUCACUG